rnacentral:rRNA from 1 species
UACGUAGGGGGCAAGCGUUGUCCGGAUUUAUUGGGCGUAAAGAGCGUGUAGGCGGCCAGAUAGGUCCGUUGUGAAAACUCGAGGCUCAACCUCGAGACGCCGAUGGAAACCAUUUGGCUAGAGUCCGGAAGAGGAGAGUGGAAUUCCUGGUGUAGCGGUGAAAUGCGCAGAUAUCAGGAAGAACACCCGUGGCUAAGGCGGCUCACUGGACCGGUAUUGACGCUGAGGUGCGAAAGCGUGGGGAGCAAACAGG